CAGCAGCCACGGUAAUACGAAGGGUGCAAGCGUUACUCGGAAUUACUGGGCGUAAAGCGUGCGUAGGUAGUGGUUUAAGUCCGUUGUGAAAGCCCUGGGCUCAACCUGGGAAUUGCAGUGGAUACUGGAUCACUAGAGUGUGGUAGAGGAUAGUGGAAUUUCCGGUGUAGCAGUGAAAUGCGUAGAGAUCGGAAGGAACAUCUGUGGCGAAGGCGACUAUCUGGGCCAACACUGACACUGAGGCACGAAAGCGUGGGGAGCAAACAGGAUUAGAUACCCCCGUAGUCCCUGUCUCUUAUAC
rnacentral:rRNA from 1 species